rnacentral:rRNA from 1 species
AUUGAACGCUGGCGGCAGGCCUAACACAUGCAAGUCGAGCGGAUGAAGGGAGCUUGCUCCUGGAUUCAGCGGCGGACGGGUGAGUAAUGCCUAGGAAUCUGCCCGGUAGUGGGGGAUAACGUCCGGAAACGGGCGCUAAUACCGCAUACGUCCUGAGGGAGAAAGUGGGGGAUCUUCGGACCUCACGCUAUCAGAUGAGCCUAGGUCGGAUUAGCUAGUUGGUGGGGUAAAGGCCUACCGAGGCGACGAUCCGUAACUGGUCUGAGAGGAUGAUCAGUCACACUGGAACUGAGACACGGUCCAGACUCCUACGGGAGGCAGCAGUGGGGAAUAUUGGACAAUGGGCGAAAGCCUGAUCCAGCCAUGCCGCGUGUGUGAAGAAGGUCUUCGGAUUGUAAAGCACUUUAAGUUGGGAGGAAGGGCAGUAAGUUAAUACCUUGCUGUUUUGACGUUACCAACAGAAUAAGCACCGGCUAACUUCGUG